rnacentral:rRNA from 1 species
GACGAACGCUGGCGGCGUGCUUAACACAUGCAAGUCGAACGGAAAGGCCCUGCGUGUGUGGGGUGCUCGAGUGGCGAACGGGUGAGUAACACGUGAGUAACCUGCCCUUGACUUUGGGAUAACUUCAGGAAACGGGGGCUAAUACCGGAUAGGAGCUCCUGCUGCAUGGUGGGGGUUGGAAAGUUGCGGCGGUUGGGGAUGGACUCGCGGUUGAUCAGCUUGUUGGUGGGGUAGUGGCUGACCAAGGCUUUGACGGGUAGCCGGCCUGAGAGGGAGACCGGCCCCAUUGUCCUUGAGGAACGGCCAGGACGCAAUCUGGGGGAAGGGGCGGGAACCUUUUCCAGACGGGCCGAGGCCGUGUGGAGCAACCCCGGGUGGGGGAGACCUGCUUUUGGGUAAGAAACGCAUUUCGCUUAUACCCCGCCGUUCGGACGGGAAACGGAGAAAAAGCACCGGCUAACUUCGGG